UGGGGAAUUUUGGAUAAUGGGCGAAAGCCUGAUCCAGCAAUGCCGCGUGUGUGAAGAAGGCCUUCGGGUUGUAAAGCACUUUUGUCCGGAAAGAAAUCCUUGGCUCUAAUACAGUCGGGGGAUGACGGUACCGGAAGAAUAAGCACCGGCUAACUACGUGCCAGCAGCCGCGGUAAUACGUAGGGUGCAAGCGUUAAUCGGAAUUACUGGGCGUAAAGCGUGCGCAGGCGGUUUGCUAAGACCGAUGUGAAAUCCCCGGGCUCAACCUGGGAACUGCAUUGGUGACUGGCAGGCUAGAGUAUGGCAGAGGGGGGUAGAAUUCCACGUGUAGCAGUGAAAUGCGUAGAGAUGUGGAGGAAUACCGAUGGCGAAGGCAGCCCCCUGGGCCAAUACUGACGCUCAUGCACGAAAGCGUGGGGGAGCAAACAGGAUUAGAUACCCUGGUAGUCCACGCCCUAAACGAUGUCAACUAGUUGUUGGGGAUUCAUUUCCUUAGUAACGUAGCUAACGCGUGAAGUUGACCGCCUGGGGGAGUACGGUCG
rnacentral:rRNA from 1 species